AGCAGCCGCGGUAAUUCCAGCUCCAAUAGCGUAUAUUAAAGUUGUUGCAGUUAAAAAGCUCGUAGUUGAAUUUCGGGGUUAGUAGGUUGGUCAUGCCUCUGGUAUGUACUGGUCUCACUGAUUCCUCCUUCCUGAUGAGCCGUAAUGCCAUUAAUUUGGUGUUGCGGGGAAUUUGGACUGUUACUUUGAAAAAAUUGAGUGUUUAAAGCAAGCUAACGCUUGAAUACAUUAGCAUGGAAUAAUGAAAUAGGACGUUCGAUCCUAUUUUGUUGGUUUCUAGGAUUGACGUAAUGAUUAAUAGGGAUAGUUGGGGGCAUUAGUAUUCAAUUGUCAGAGGUGAAAUUCUUGGAUUUAUUGAAGACUAACUACUGCGAAAGCAUUUGCCAAGGAUGUUUUCAUUAAUCAAGAACGAAAGUUAGGGAUCGAAGACGAUCAGAUACCGCCGUAGUCUUAACCCAUAAACUAUGCCGACUAGGGAUCGGAUGAUGUUAAUUUUUUAAUGGCUCAUUCGGCGCCUUAA
rnacentral:rRNA from 1 species